AAAAGGGGAAAAAAAAAAAGGAAGAAAAGGGAAAGCGCCUUGUGCACGCUGCAGGAGUGUCUGCCCAGGGCCGGAGUGGGGCUGCGGUGCGGUGCGGUGCGCGGGGCUGGCAGCGGCCGUCAUCGGGUGAGGAUCCGGCCCCGCGUCUUCCCAUGAGCCGAACCCGACAUCAAAGGGCACGCGAUAGCAAUGUGGAGCGCACAUGGGAGGCUCGCGAGCCCCUUCUGUCAAACCACGUUUCCUGGAGCUCCCAGCCCUCCGCCCGGCAGCCCGAGCCCCCCGGACACGGGGCAGAAGAGGCACGUGGAACUCCGGGCUGCCUGCGCACCCGAAGCCGUCCCGGGGAGCCUCCCGUUGCCUUCGCUCCUCCAUGGGACGCGGGGACGAGCUGCAAGUUAAUAGCCAUUGUCAUCCAGGGGUGGUUUCAAUUAUCUUUCGGGGCCUCCCCAGACUUAACUCAUCUUCUGCCACUUUGCCGCGCAACCCGGGCACCAGUCCAACAUCACUCUCCGAGGCAGCUUUGCAAGCGGCACCUCACCUGCUGGCAGCCACCGGCCCUGCCGGCCCGCUGCUCAGCCCGGCCGGCAGCCUUCGGGGCUACGUUCACUCGCUGCCCUCCUGCUUGGCCACUGCGGGUGGCCCCGGGGCUCGCAGGGGCCGGAGGCGCAGCGGGUAGCGAGAUGGGUUGUGAUGGGAAACCAAAGAAGAUUUUCAGGCUCUGCACUGGCUGAGAGUGGAGGCAGGAAUUGAAAUUAAGACCAUUCGGAUCUGCAUGACAACUCAAGAAACCAGUCUUGUAAACAUUUUCGUUAAUAAAUUAAAGAAAGUUUCUAUUUAGGGUGGAACCAGGAGUUUGUGCUACAUCCUAACGGCAAUAUAUUUCCACAGUUUUUCAGAAAGUUUUUCAUUCCUUCACCUCAUGAUGUUUGGGAGAAUUAUAAGCAUAGAGCAGGAGGUGUCUGUGCCCAUUUACACACUGCAGUGUACAACAGUACGUACUGCAUUUUUUUUGCGUGUGUGCUCAUUCCUCUUUGCCACAAUGAAUCUUGAGAAAAACUUAGAUGUUGCAAUGAUUCUAAGACGCAGAACUUAGUAAGGAUCACUGCAAUGCUUCAUGCCAUCUGCACCCUAUGACAUAACUGAGACACAAGUCCAGAUCACAGACGUGUCAUUGCUGGGGAUUAGGUGGAAAUCUGGUGUUUGAAUGCAAACUCUUUCUUUCAUGUUGUUUUUACCAUGCAAUCCUCAGCACCAGGGAAGGCUCUGAGGUGCCUGAAGCUCUGCUGCACACAUGCACUGAAGCCUUUUGCUCCUGACAGGGCUGAGUAUGUAUCUCACACCUAACCCCAUCCGGACACACAGACAAAGCAUUCUUCCUCCUGAGGGGCUGCAGGGCCACGCAUGUGCAAGACACACUUAUGCAGGCGGGCUCUGAAAGCAGUGUGGUGGCACUGCAGCGCAGUGGGAACGGAGUGGUGGGAGCAGAAGGUGCAGUUCGUGCAGUUCCUUAGAGGCACAGGGACAGAGUGAGCAUGGGCUGGGUGUUUCUGGUACGAGAAUGCCACUGGAAUCCCAUAGCACAUCUGUACCGCUCAGUCUGGGAGAACCCAAAGGCACAACCCCACGCACCUCCUGUUGCUGGGGCUACUGAGACUUCUGCUUGAAUAAGGAAUGGAGCGUAGGCUCCAAAAUACGACAUUUUAAAGCAGCCUGAACCACGUCUUCCUUCUGUGCAUGUCAGUGCACCCUGUCAAAGCUAUUUGUUCCUAUAAAUAUUUUAAGAGUCCAGCGAUGGUGCUGAAAUGGAAGUCUCAGCUCCCUGUGCUGGCAGCCACACUGAUGUUUCCCAGAAUUCACAGAGCUGAAUGAAGGAGAGUGUUGUGGGGAAGUUCCUGGUAAAAAAAGGGAAGAGGAAGCACAGCACUGCGUGCCCAGGGCCUUAAUCCCCCCCAGCCCCACCCCCUACAAAUUUAACCGCACAAUUUGUAAUCAUUCAUAGCAGUUGGAAUUGUCUUGAGUUUUAAAAGGCUUUUCUCAUUAACCAGCCCUUUAUUCCUUGCAAAGCACAUUAUUGAUCUUAAUAUGCAGAAAAUACCAUCGCUAGCAUAAUGUUUGUGCCGUUUUUGUUAAACAAUGAGAAUUGAUGAGGUUUGGCAGGACAUUAAAAUAUUUAACAUUAUAGCUUUGAGAAGACUUUUAUGUGUCUGUAGUAACAAGAAAAUCUUUUAACAGGAAAAAUGUUUUCCUCUGCUUCACUACAGUCUUCAGUGAGGGUUGAUUUUGUUUGUACUAAACCCAAUGGGAGGUUUCUUACUGACUUCAAAGGAGAGAAGAGGAACUCCAGUUUGGAAAAUCAUUGCUAGAAGCAAAUCUGAGCCUUCUGGUCUUGUGACCAGUGCCAUUUAAACUGACAUUUUGUUACACUCCCUGGGGCUGCGACCUUCAGCUUUGCCUCAGGAUAUGGGGUAUGGUGGAGAUGCCAAGAGGUGGCUGUGAAGCUCCACACCAACCCAUCAUUUAAAGGCAUGCGAGGUGGAUCAGAUGCCACCCAGGGUCAGCUAUCAACCUCUGUUCCUUGUCCCAGAGAGUCUCCUUCUGAGGCACAUUUUAAUGUAACUGCUCAGUUUUUCUGCUUUUGCUGUCCAAAACAUCACUGACCUUUUGGGUUUUAAAUCAGGCAGUGUGGCUGAUUUUCUGUUUUUACAGCGAUAUUUGCAGGGUAAAGAACUCAGGAGAAGUUGUAGAGCAGAGAAGAGGGCAUUCAAAAAAAACAGACCAUUGCUUCAUAGAUCCUUGCAAUACUUGAACAGGCCCACAUCUGGACUGAGGAGGGGAGAUGAUGGAGAGCAAGGAAUCAGCCGCAAGCAGCCUGCUUCCCAAGCACUCCUGGGUUGCCCCAUGCCUGUGAGCAAUGGCUCGGGGCAGUGCUGCCAAUAACAUGGUGUUGUAUGUAAAGCUGGGAGCACAGAGUCCCACACAGUUGUAUUUGGGCAACAAAGUUCCCAUUUGCCUCUGGGUGAAUUCUGCCUAUGUAAGGACUUCAGAGGAGCUAAGAAAAGAGCAUUAUUAAUUUACUUCAUUGCUGGCUCAGAGAAAGCCAGCAGCUCCAGCAGUCUUGCCUAAAUGAAGAGGAGAUGGUCUGAGGUACAUGCAGGGUGAUCUUCAUACCAAAAGUGAAAGAUAAAUUGCUUUAAGGUAUGGUAACUUUCUGUAAAAACGUGAUCUGUGCGUGAUCCCUCCCAGCUUUGAAAGGAGACUUUAUAAACUCUGUGGCUUUUGAUUUGAUAAGGCAACCUUAUACUUAUCUUUUUAAUUCCAGUGAGAAGUUUGUGAGAAAAUAGAAAGGAACUCUUGAUGUUCUUAUGCUCUCGAUUAUCACUUCAUUGUUUAAGUAUUUGCUUAAUGAAACAUACAGUAAAAAUUGCACUGUAAAACCUACUGCAAUGUACUCUAUAUCAUUUGGAACUAAUAGAAAAAAAAUACAACACUGCAGAAAAGGCACUAAUUUUUAUUUUAUCAAAUAAAAAUGUUACUUGACUGCAAAGCCCUUUGCUUUAUUUUCUCACUUAUAUUGUAUAUAUUUGAAGAAAAAUGUCUGCUGUGUGUCAUCUAUCUAACACAAAAAACUGAUGCUGUUAUUAAUAAGUUACAAUGAAAAAUAAACCAGUUUGCACUUUGAUUUCUAUCACUCCUGAUGAGUGAUUCCUUUGGAAUAAACAUACCUCUAACACAUGUAAACAACACAGGAAAUUAAUAACAAAAUUCUUCGGAUUUAUUUCAGAUGCCACAUUCUUUAUGUAAAUAUAUGUGGCUUUCAGUUUCAAUGAUUUUCCAGUAAGUAAUAAACUUUGCUCAUUAACCUCCUUCUAAACUAAACAUUUAUUACUUUAUAAGUGUUAUUUCAACUAAAUCAAGUGGAUAUGCUCAGUAAAUGAAUGCAACAAAUCUGCUCAACCAGAGAAGCAGGAUUGCUUCUUUUCAGUUGGGCAUACUGCAAGUUUCUACUUCAGCUUCAAGGGAGUGGGAUGCAGUUUAAUUUGCUGAUUUUUCAUGUAAAAAAAAAAGGGUUGAUAAUACAUAUAUAUAUUUAAAUAAACCUACUUUUUCCUCGUUAGCUCAGUAGUAGAAAAUGGGAAAAAAUCCACAAGCUGAAUAAAGUUACAUAUAUCAGUACCAUGAGCCUUGUGUUCAGUUUUUCACAGAACUGGUUUGGUGGAAUGGUCAGAUAUCAAUAUUCUUUUGGCAUGAUGAGGGGGUAUCUUUUAGGGAAACAGAGUCCUCUUAAGUGCAUGAUUUUAAAAAUAUUAAGGCAAAAAUGUUUCGCAAUUUCUGAACAAAUAGGAAAAAAUACACACUAAGAAACAUUCUGCUCUCAUAUUUAUGAUUAUGUGUUCGCUGAAAAGUUGCUAGCAUUGGCCUUUGUGGAGGUGGCUGUACAUCCACUUACUCACAGGGGUGUGGAAGAAGCCCUGCCACGCUGUGCAGAUUUGGUUAGGGACACAGCAGGACCCUGGAGGUCCCCCUUAACCAAGAAACUAGGAGCAAAUCGGGACACCCAGGUGUACACCAGAACCACCCACUUCUGAGCCCAAACUGGAUGAGGGUGCUUGGCCAGCCUCAGCUGCUUUCCCUUAAGAAAAGCCCAAGGAAAAGAAUGGUGGCAUGGUGCUGGCACCAGGGGCUGCAGAAGCACAGGGCUGCCAGCACUGGGGCCAGCUAGACACUGUCUUGCUCUGAGGACCUUGGAUAUUGGAGCACAGCUGAGUAUUCAAAAUGAGUACUAGGCUGCUGGGUUUUAUCUCUUAAUCAGGCACAGGCUAUCCUUGAGGGACACCGAAUCAUCACAUUUCUCAAGCACCAGAUUGCAACCAGCAGCGCUUACUUGAGGCUAAGAAGCUUGGUCUGAUUACAGAAGUCAAGCACUAAAAUCUAUUAACUCAGCUAUAAGAUUUUUCAGUUUCUUCUGUUUUUAUUUUGUUUGGUUCAAUUGGAUUUGGUUCAGACAUGACUCAUUUCCACUUCCUGCAUCUCCACAAUAGUUCCUGCAAGACCCUCAGCCAUGGAGCAUGGCUUGCACCCACUUCAAACACAAAGCAAAGUCUCAUUUCUAUUUUGCAGACUGAGGCUUCAUUUAAAUUAAACAUGGCAGGACAGAGGGUGUGCAAUACAUGUCCUUGGUUCCCUUAGUCGACUGAAAAGAAAACUACAAAGAAAAAAAAGAGUGAAAGAAAGAAAGGAAAAAAUACUCUGGAUAUAUAAAGGGAGAAGUCAAAUUCCAAAAGCUCUCAGGAAAUCAAAAUCUUCAGUCACAAGAAAAGUGACAGUAUCCAAAUGAAAUCUUAACACGGCAUGGAAAUGUGAUAAAGAGUGUGGCUGGUAUUCUCAGUGAGGCUAUAGACAUGUAUGUAAAUAUAAUUAAAUUGGGAACACAUUAGAGGGAUUAAAGAGAUCUGCAUAGCACUAGAAGAAAGAAGCAGCAGAUGUAACUGUUAACAAUAAAGGAAGGGAUUUCUGGCCAAAAUUCAAGGUUUUCUUGCACCCUAGCUCAUUGUUGCAAAUAAAUGGGGACACAGUAAAUAACUUGUAGUGACUUGUAGAUCCAACAUCUUGCUGUUGUUGUUCAUGAUCUAGCUACCAUUUACCAACAUGCUAAUUCUUAUAAAUGAGUUCCUUUAGCAAACACACAACGCAGAUGUACUUUCAUCUAGGAAGCAUCACUGCUCUAUUAAAAUGAGAUGCUUCAGUGGCUGCAAGAUUGGCGGUGAUCAAAAGUGCCGACAACUGAAGACACCACCAAAUUUCUGAGCCCUUUUUGGCAGGUUUCCAGGAGCAGAGAGACCUGCACACCCACAAGGCUGAUCUUCAAGCUUCAAAAGAGGCCCAGGCAUUGUGCCUCCCACGAGGGAGGAAAGGUCUCAUGGGCAAGCACUCUGAGCUAGAGACAGGUCCUGUUGGGACAGACCAAUGCUGAUUUUAAGUUCUUAGUGUCUAUGGCCAAAGGUCUCUGUCUCUCCCAGCAGUUGGUAUUAAACAAAUCAUUAAAUCCCACUGUGGUCAAUACAAUUAGAAAAUCUUGCUAAGCAUUAAAGACAGGCAUUAAAACAGUGAUAAAUGGCUCUUAGACUUCCACAUAUAGUUUAGAGCAUCC